UGAGACGUAUGGAGAGAGUAAUAUGGAAAUUUAUAUUAUUAUAUGUGAAAUAUAUAGUUAGUGGGAAUUUGUUGUAUGGUUUAGGAAAUUUAAAUAUGGGCUUUAUAUUAAUUUAGUUAGAUGGGAUGGGGAGGGAGAUGGGAGGAAGGUUUAAAAAGGAGGGGAUAUAUAUAUUUUUAUAGUUGAAUUAUAUUGAGAUUUG
rnacentral:misc_RNA from 1 species